GAGGCUGGGGUCCCUCUGCCUGCCCGGCUCUGCGCGACCACGCUCCCUGGGCGCCUGGGUCACCAUCCGCCUUUCUCUUUGCGCUCUUGCAGGAGGCCACCGGCAAAGGCCGCCCGGAGCCGCCUGGGUCUAGACAAGGAUUGCACACCCAUGUUCCCCGGUCCGCGAGCCAAAAGCUGGAGCCAGCGCGAGCCCGCAGAGGGACGGACCAGCCGUGGGUAACUGCGGACGGGGAGCCGAGCGCACGCGCCACGGCCGCUGCCUUUGUGCGUCGACGGCCGAUCCGUGCUCGCCUGUGGGAAGACUGGCGCUGGAAUUUUGAAUUCCACAUUUUGUGCACAAUGCGCAGUCUUCUCGGCACCGAAGCAAAUCAGACAGUGCAGAAAGGCGGACCCGCCUCGUUCUAGGACUGCGUGUUGGCAACGAGUCGCCUGGAGCUUCACGCACUGCCGCGCGUGGGGAGGGGCUCGGGGGCCCCCGGGAGAACGCAGCAGGUGGAGAGAGUCUCGGGGCGGCCCCGCGCGGCCCCAGCCAUGCCGCCGGUAAUGGCCGGCACCUUAGCGUGGCCCUCCGAGGGUUCCCAGGGCCGGCCCGGAUUGUUCCCCACCCGCGCGUUCUCUCUCGCCGCCAGCCAGGCACAGCUGGCAAGGCUCUCCCGCGCCGAGACCUUCUGACUCCCUGGUUCCCGCCUCCGCCCCCGCGCGAGGGUGGCCCGAGAGAGCCGGAGCUCGCCCGGCCCCGGCCGGGACCAUGGUGUUUCUCUCUGGAAACGCUUCCGACAGCUCCAACUGCACCCACCCGCCGGCACCGGUGAACAUUUCCAAAGCCAUUCUGCUCGGAGUGAUCUUGGGGGGCCUCAUCCUUUUCGGGGUGCUGGGGAACAUCCUGGUGAUCCUCUCCGUGGCUUGUCACCGGCACCUGCACUCGGUCACCCACUACUACAUCGUCAACCUGGCCGUGGCCGACCUCCUGCUCACCUCCACGGUGCUGCCUUUCUCCGCCAUCUUCGAGAUCCUGGGCUACUGGGCCUUCGGCAGAGUCUUCUGCAAUAUCUGGGCGGCGGUGGACGUCCUGUGCUGCACCGCGUCCAUCAUAAGCCUCUGCGUGAUCUCCAUCGACCGCUACAUCGGCGUGAGCUACCCGCUGCGCUACCCCACCAUCGUCACCCAGCGCAGAGGCCUCCGGGCUCUGCUCUGCGUCUGGGCCUUCUCCCUGGUCAUCUCCAUCGGGCCCCUGUUCGGCUGGAGGCAGCCGGCCCCGGACGACGAGACCAUCUGCCAGAUCAACGAGGAGCCGGGCUACGUGCUCUUCUCGGCCCUGGGCUCCUUCUACGUGCCUCUGACCAUCAUCCUGGCCAUGUACUGCAGGGUCUACGUGGUGGCCAAGAGGGAGAGCCGGGGCCUCAAGUCCGGCCUCAAGACCGACAAAUCCGACUCGGAGCAAGUGACGCUCCGCAUCCACCGGAAAAAUGCUCCCGCCGGAGGCAGCGGGGUGGCCAGCGCCAAAAACAAGACGCACUUCUCCGUGAGGCUCCUCAAGUUUUCCCGGGAGAAGAAAGCGGCCAAAACGCUGGGCAUCGUGGUCGGCUGCUUCGUCCUCUGCUGGCUGCCUUUCUUCCUGGUGAUGCCCAUCGGGUCUUUCUUCCCUGAUUUCAAGCCCCCGGAAACUGUUUUUAAAAUAGUGUUUUGGCUCGGAUACCUAAACAGCUGCAUCAAUCCCAUCAUAUACCCAUGCUCCAGUCAAGAGUUCAAAAAGGCCUUUCAGAAUGUCUUGAAAAUCCAGUGUCUUCGCAGAAAGCAGUCUUCCAAGCAUGCCCUGGGCUAUACUCUGCAUGCCCCCAGCCAGGCCCUGGAGGGGCAGCAUAAGGACAUGGUGCGCAUCCCAGUGGGAUCUGGAGAGACCUUCUAUAAGAUCUCCAAGACGGAUGGGGUUUGUGAGUGGAAGUUUUUCUCUUCCAUACCCCGUGGAUCUGCCAGGAUCUCUGUGCCCAAAGACCAAUCAGCCUGCACUACAGCCCGGGUGAGAAGUAAAAGCUUUUUGCAGGUCUGCUGCUGUGUAGGGCCCUCAACCCCCAACCCCGGAGAGAACCAUCAAGUUCCAACAAUUAAGAUCCACACCAUCUCCCUCAGUGAAAAUGGGGAGGAAGUCUAGAGGACAGGAAAGGGCAAAGAACGAGGGAAUGAUCUUAGUUACCCACCCCUCUUCCUACUCAGAAUGCCUGUUCACUUCUCCUGGAAGACAAGAUAGGUCUAUCAAAUGGGGGGACCACCUGGGAAGAGAAUGGGGAGGACUCAACUCAUCGGGCAUCAGGUAGGGCACGAGGAGCUGCCAGUUCUGAGUGAUGCCGAACAGCAGUCCCUGCCACUAGUGUACCCUCAGUCAUUCUCUGAGCCCACUGUCCACAACUGGCCCUUUCAAUGAAAAACACCAUGGGAAACAAUUUCAUACACAAUCCAAAGGACUAUAAAUAUAGGAUCAUGAUUUCAUCAAGAGUAUUUUGAGCAUACACUCUAAGUUUGGAGCUAUUUCUUGAUGGAAGUGCGGGGAUUUUAUUUUCAGGCUAAACCUACUUGACAGCCACAUUUGACAUUUAUGGAAAACAGUUCUAGAAAGGAAGAGCUAUGAGAUGAUGGCUGAUAUCCAGGUACAUGGUCUUUAGAGCAGGUUUUUAAACUCCACCAUUCCCAACGUAUCCAGUUUCUCAGUUUGGGUGACAGUUGACAGUGGGAUAUACUUUGGCUGCUCCUUAUUCCCUAAAGAUGACAAGGAGGGGCACUUACUAUGUCUCCGAAUACAAUGGUGGCACACUCUCUCCCCUUGAAUCUAGAAGGGAUGGAAUGAACUAGUAUAGGAGAAGAUGGCUUUUCCCAUAGCAAACAAUAGUCUUGAGGGUUAUUUUUUUCAAGUACUAAGGACAAAAAUCUAUUCAGCAAUUCCAAGAUCCGAUGAAGGAGGGCUUCUUCUGUAACAUUUAAAAAUCAAGAGGUUGAGGUGAUGUGGGUGCUGAUUUUAUGCUAAAAUACAUGCUCCUAGAUGAUUCCACAGUCUUUUUGACAUGGCCUGGAGUGGUUCUUCCUGGCAAAUCGCUUACUUUCUCCAGAACUCUGUUAUGAAAGCAAAAUAGUGCUUCCACUUCUUCUCCCCUGCUUCACUUAAUGAAUGGGGCUCAUCUAUGGCAUGUCAGCAUGAUCCUUAGGGUCCAGAUAUAUCCUUCCUGAACUUUGAAAGAUACUAAUGCUUAGCUUUGUACAAAUACUGACUGAUCACCAAAGAACUGUUAAAAACAGAAAUUUGCAGACAAUUUUUGACAGAACUCCAUUGAUUCUAGCAAAAGAUCUAGUAGUCUAGUCACCUCUCCUAUCCCCACUUUCUGCAGGGACAUGGGAAACAUCAUCAUUUUUGUUCUGCGUUUACCAAAUUUUGGGGAAAUCUUAAUAACUUGGUAUUUUGCUAAUGAUGAACAUGGUAACUAUGUGUAAAAAACUUAAAUAUGUCUGUCAUUGCACAAUAAGAAUUUAAAAUGGGACUUAUGUUUGGGGAAUAUUUUUGACAAGAAUCGCUGGUCUAAAACUGCCAACCAUUUCCAUGUCUUCUUUCCUCUAUUUUGGUAAUUUCCUCUAAGAAUUUCAAAGAAAAUUGUAGUUGCUAUUACAUGAUCUCCAAGGUAAAGAUCACGAGCCCAUCAUCUUUUCCUUUUUCCCUUGCGGAAAAAUGAUCAUUUCCCUAAAUCCUUCUAAAGGCAAAUCUUUUUUCCAUGUUGCAAUGGAGGUUACGGCUGCAUGUGAAUUUGGGGUUUAUGGUUGGUUGUAUUUGGACCUAGAACAUGAAUGCUUCUUCUAGAGAAUGUCUUGCUAAUUGGCUGGAUAGAAAUUCAGCCUUGUGGUCAAUACUUAGAUCCUGGCACCUAGCUACUGACUGCAAUUUAAUACUUUUUUGGUCUCUUUGCAUGUCCAAUAACAGCUUUACAAGACGUGGGUAUUCUAUUAUAGAGGCAGGCAUCUAAAAAGAAGUUGAAUGUGCAAGGCUUGCUUCUCUUCUGCCUUAAUAGAAAAGAUAAGUUUAGUUGUUAAAAGCGAUUCUUUCAGGAACUGAAUGAAAAAACCACGCUUGACCCAGAUCCCCUCUUCAGUGACAAGUGUUUCUGUGUUAGAAAAGAUCUUUAAACACCUUUAUAGACAAAUCUAAAUUUUAGAUAUGGGGAAGUUCAGAGCACCUGAAAGCUAGUGUCCAUGCCACUUCUAAUUAAAAUAAACAACUAGAAAAUCUUUCAGUCAUCAGAUAAAAACCAUGACAAUUAUUUCCAUGUAAAAUCAUUCAUAAAUAAUUUGUUUGUUAUACUGUUCUCCAGCCCUUCUCCUUCCAGAGAGGUAAAUUUUUAACAUGUUUUUCCUUUCCCAUAGCAUGAUAUGGGAUAUAGACACACUGAUUUUACAAGAAGUUGAUAAUGUCACCCAAAACUUCCAUGAAAUUUCCAGGAGUUGAGUAUGUUUUACUCAUCCACAAAAAUCCCUAUACCUUUAAGCAUGCCAGAAACCUUUCUAAAAUUGUUACAGUUACACAAAUGAUUGUCGUAUUUAUACUCACAUGUUUACUGCUUUAUUAGGAGUUUGAGGAAUUUACCCAAAGUAGCAGUGGUUAAAAGGUCUUCUCUAAAAGGAGCUGCUUUGGAAUUGUCUCAACAUCACAAAAACCAAUCUGACAUUGUGGGAUAGACAAAAUUUGAGUUUGUAAUUCAGAUUUCGUGCAUUAAGAGAGAUCUUGGACUCUUUAUUCAAGAAAUUCCCAGGUUUUUGAAAGGGAUUUCAGAAAAAAAGUUUACCCACCACUGUUUUCUUCCUUUUGCCUCUAUCAGGUCUCAUCCAAGACUUCUGUUUGUAACCAUGCAGCAUGUCUAACACUCUAAAAUAUUAAACCUUCGACCCUCCUACCACCUGCUUGAAUGGGCCCAUCUGUGGUACAUAAUACUUUCUGUUAAAUUCUACUGUGUGCCUAUCUGCAGGGCAUCUCACACCUGUUAACUCUACAUCUCAUAACAACUCUAUUUCUAUUUUAGAGAUGAAAAUGUGAGAGUUGAAAGAGAUUACAGAUUUGCCCAAGGCCAAGAAGAAGCCACAAUUCAAACCUGGGUGUCCCUAACACAAAAACUACAUAUUUUCCAUAGCACCUUUUCCUCGUAAAUAGUGAAGAGAAAAGGGCUCCAGUUUGGACUGGGUAAUGUUUUGUUUCCUCAAGAUUUGCCUCCAAAUUGAAUUUAGUAAAUAUGCUAUACAUCUCCAACCCAGCCAAAUCCAAGAGUAGUUCUUCACUGGAAGGGUUGAUGUCUACAGUUCUAUCAAAUAUCAUCACUUUCUUAGGGGUCAAUGGCCCAGAGUGUUAUUAAGGCCUUGUAACAAUGAAUUUUACCAAAUUGUGAGAAGAUGGGCAUUUGACUAAAAACAGCAAGCCAGAUGUAGAUAAGAAAUACAUUGAUUUUUGGUGUGUUCUAAUUAUUCAUUACCAAGCACUGUUCAUCUGAACAGGUUUAGGUAGUUUAUCCCUUUUAAUAGUAAAUGAAGAUAAAUACAACAUCCUUCAUAUCAUUCACCUGUAUUUCAACUUUUUUUUGAGUUGGGAAGAGGGGGAAGGAUUAUAGGAACCGCACAGAGUGUGUCGAGCGAGCCUUUGAGUUUCACAGAUCACCUCCACGGGAAAAGGCUGCAGAAUGCUGAUCUUCAGCAGACAGAGCCCCAGGAAGUCUUUGAAAAUGAGGUAGACAGGCCGCUUUACUUGCUCCUGAAUUUCCUUGCACAAAAGAAAGCUGUGUGCCCCAAGCAUCUUGGCUUCCCCCGUCUUCAAAGCACACCAUCACACAGACCUACUGACCCAGGCGGUUUCAUGGCUAUGGCCUGAGAGUAAGAGCACUGUAGGAGCUAUUUGCUCAGGCAGGUAAUUGUUCACUGUUUAAUCAUAGCUACUUACUCACCGCUUGACAAGCAUUCUCAAUAGCUUCUGGGGCUGGUUCUGCUCCUAUCUUCUUGCCAAAAGAGAUGCUCCCUCUGAAUACUUGUUGACGUAAUUAAGGAAAGGGCUCUGUUCAUCAGACAGAAGGCAAAAUCUUCAAGCAAAAGCCAGGGUGACUAAAAAGAAGGCAAAAGUGAUAGUUACUCUGAUGGUUACUCUGAUCUCUUUUUACACUACUAGGACUUUUAACCAUGAAACUCUAGUCGUGCCCAGCUGGACCACUGCACCUGCUCUCUGUCUACAAACUGCUGUGGAGCCGGGCUGAGCCGGGCUGCCAUGGUGCCACCUACCCUCAAAAGGCAAUGGCAGCAGCAGCCUUCUGGCCCUCCAAAGUCUCUGCAAGAUGAUGCUUGGAGAAAGAAAACUAAGAGCAUCAACUUGCAGGGAGCAGAAUGUGAUGGGCCUGGCUAAUGGGGAAAUAAGUAUGGGUCUCCGUGUAAGAAGAACCAGCUCCUUCAAGGUCUGAACUUGUCCAAAUGUAUACAUUGGGUUUGGAGUAAUAAGUCUUACUCUACACAAGGAUGAAACUUCAAUCAUGUUGAUGCAUGAUGCAAAGUAUAUUAAUUAUUAUAUUAUUGGUUAAAGGUCAACCUACCUUGUUUCUUAAGGGGAAGUAUUCCCUUUGCAAGAAACCAGUUUCCUGUCCACUGCUGCCCUUACCAUCAUUCAGUGAAGUGGGUACAGCCCACUCACCCUCCCUGCUGCCCUAUCUUUUGAGUCCACCUCAGGAGCCAGAGUCUUGCUUGAUGUAUGGAUUUGCUUCUUUAUCAAGCAUUCAUCUUGGGCACAAAUCUAUUAUAUUACUGUUGCCAUUGCUGAAAUAACAAUAACUCAAGAAGUGACUGUGAAUUCAAAGAGAAAGAAGAAUAUUGAUCUGGGGACAAAGCCCAUGUUUUUUAAGUUGGCAUAAUACAGCUGCCACCCAUUGCAUUUUUAAGAGUUAAACCCUAAAUUUGUCUGGUUUCCCUCAAAGUCUAGCACAUCCAUAGAUGUAGAGGAAACCAAACUGCAGAACAAAUCACCUUCUUCCAAAGGAUGCUGCCGUUGCACCUGCUACUCUCUCAAUCAUUCAUCCAUUCUGUAAUUUGCAGUGAGGGGGUGGAGAGUAACAAUAGUGGAGAUGCAUCCUUGCCCUCAUAGCACCUGUGUUCUGCGGGGGUACAGGCAAGUCAACAAGCCUUCUAAUGCGCUUAUUCACAGGGUGCCAUGGGGGCACCAGGGCACCCCACACCCAGUCUCAGAAUCCGCCUUUUCAAAAAUAAUAACCUCUAUGUGGGAACCUGGAAGAUAAAAUGGAGUGGGGAACAGAAACAGUUGUUCCAGGAAAAGGAUUACUAAAUCUGUGCAGAGACCGAGGGACUGGUGAACCUCGGGCAUUUGUUGGGGAUGACCCUCCUCCACUGUGUCAGGAUGCAUGGAAAACCGGGCUUACUGAUCAUGGCUGCACCUGCCUCCAGGCCACAACUGCUUGGCUCCCCUAUUUUUUUUUUAAGGCUUGGAGGAAGUCACGGGAAGAGCCAGGACGUGGUGAGUCCAGGGGCUUUCCCAACAGAGCUACCAUGUUUGGCUUGGCUGGAAAUCACAAGGCCUUGGUUUCCCACUUAUCUGAUUCUCUUUGUUCUCAAGGCUUAGCACGGGAUUACAAUGAUGACUAAACAUAAGAAAAAAAACCUAUUUCUCAUUGUGCAAAUAAACAUUUGUUCAAACAUGAGGCGGCUAAUCCAUAAAAAUAAGCAAACGCCUUGGAUGUUUUAGCAAGCAAAUUGUAUACAAAGGCAAUUCAGUGUUACUAAAAACUGAGGAGUUAUUUGUAAUAAGAAAACACUGUACAGUAUGUUUUUAAAGAAAGAGAGGAUUUCUCCUCCAAAAACAAAAAAGCAGAAAACAAUCAGGUCCCCAGCACACCCCAAAGGCGGGUUUCCACCUCAUCCUGGGAAAGAGGUCAUCAUACGCUGUAUCCGGGCACGUGACAGCCAAGCGUGCCUGGAAGCUUGUCACAAGCCAAACGUAGCAGGAGUGGUGGGAGACACAGAAGCAAACAUAAAGGACUUGCAGCUGCCCCCUUGCAAUCAAGGAGUAAUCAGGAAGAACUCAACUUGGUGGGGCUCAGGAAAACAAUUUGGAGGUACAUUUUUGCCUGUGAAGUUAAAACUCUCUUUCAGUAAAUAAAGCCGGUGCCAUUUAAACAUGAACCCCAUGACAUUUCCUGGCUUGCUGCCGCGUUUCUGCUUGUCUCUGCGUUAGAUCUGCUCAAAAUACAAACACGGCAUUUCCACGUUGCCAGAGAAGUGAGUGCGGGCCGCCUGGCUGACCUCAGUGCUUUGGUUUUCCUUUAGUCUUUACAAUUGGUGUGGCACAUAAGCUCCUGUAAGGUGCGAUUUCUAACGCAAAGUGCUUGUCAAGCACACCUACCUGCUCCAGGUUUGGGCUUUGGUCUGCUGAGCUGACGAUCUCGUUACCUUUCCUUCCAUGUUCCAAACAAGUUUUCAAAAGAAUUCCUGUGAAUCAUGCUGAGUGUUAGGUAGGUAUGCUACAGGGAUAUUCCCCCUCCUAUACCAGAUUAAUAUGUUUAUGUGUGUGAAUUGUUAUACUUGAAUUAUUGGCAGCAUUUCGUAUGGUUGCAUAUAUAUGAUGUCUGGGCUGACUACAAUGGCUUCAAAGUAUUUAAUUCCUUUUAAAUGAACUCAAUAUCCUUGGAAUGUGCUAUUUAAGUGUUUCUGAAUUUUCUACACCCCCUUUUUACAGGUCUGUUUGUUUAUGCUGUGAUGUAGUGAACAAUCAUGUUAGUUUGAUGUUUUUGUUUUUUAGGAAAAUGAAUGUACAUAUGACUAAGCAGAUGAAUAAGUUAUUAAAAAAUAUAGACUUCAUGGAUCAUGCUUAAUGUUAAAAAAUGAAUUUAUUUUAUUUGUUUAAUAAAGUUAUUGUUCAAAUGAUAGCAAUUUACUUUGUCCUUAUAAAUACGAAUGCCAUAUAUUUAAGUGUUGUUCAAUAUCGAUGUAUGUUCUCUAAUAAAACAUUUUAA